ACCCGCUGAACUUAAGCAUAUCAAUAAGCGGAGGAAAAGAAACCAACAGGGAUUGCCUUAGUAACGGCGAGUGAAGCGGCAAUAGCUCAAAUUUGAAAGCUGGCCUUCUGGUCCGCAUUGUAAUUUGUAGAGGAUGCUUUUAGGCAGCCGCCGGUCUAAGUUCCUUGGAACAGGACGUCAUAGAGGGUGAGAAUCCCGUAUGUGACCGGCUCUGGCACCUUCUGUAAAGCUCCUUCGACGAGUCGAGUUGUUUGGGAAUGCAGCUCUAAAUGGGAGGUAAAUUUCUUCUAAAGCUAAAUACUGGCGAGAGACCGAUAGCGCACAAGUAGAGUGAUCGAAAGAUGAAAAGCACUUUGGAAAGAGAGUUAAAAAGCACGUGAAAUUGUUGAAAGGGAAGCGCUUGCAAUCAGACUUGGCUUCGGUUGUUCAACAGGUCUUCUGACCUGCCUAUUCAAUCGUUGCCAGGCCAGCAUCAGUUUCGGCGGCCGGAUAAAGGCCCUGGGAAUGUGGCUGUUCCUUCGGGGACAGUGUUAUAGCCCAGGGUGUAAUACGGCCAGCUGGGACUGAGGUCCGCGCUUCGGCUAGGAUGCUGGCGUAAUGGUUGUAAGCGGCCCGUCUUGAAACACGG
rnacentral:rRNA from 1 species